CGCACCCACAGCUUCCCAGCCGCCUUUUGUCGUCUCGAUCCAGGGUCUCUGGCUUUGCCGUCCCGGUUUCCAAUGGGAAUGGGCAGAGGUCUCUAGCUGGUGGGACAGUUUUUCGAAGGAAUGUUCGGGUGUUGAAGAGAUUUUGUGUCUCCAGGGAGUCGGAGUGACUUGAUACGUCAGAGCAGUUCUGCAGUGUGUAUGCAGUGGUUCUUCGUGGAGCGCGGUGAGUCCUAUGAGCAGACAGAGAACAAGAGCAUAUUAGGUCUUCAAGUCAUGGCAGAGACAAAAGCCUUGGCAACUGGGUAACUCCCUGAACGAUAAUCCAGUGUUGGAUCUCCUGACUCUACCAUAUAUCAGCGGAUGGCCACGGGCAAGUUGCUGAACUUCUCUGAGCCUCAGGUUUCUCAUCUGCUUUCGGAAUAAGUGGAGGGAGAAGAAGGUGAAAAGAGUUGGAACUGACAAUAAAACUGCAGCGCCCUGGAGAGGGGGCCUUCCUGGAAGCUACAUAAGUCUCCCUGAUGGAAGGAAAUCUUAGCGACUUUGGAAACGACUCAAGUUUGCUGUCAUGUUCACAUGUGGUGGUCGUGACGGUCAGGGCCAGGGGGAGGCUGCACCUUAGUGAACAGCUUGGGUGAAUGAGGGCUGUACUAAACUCACCGAUGUGAGAAAUGCCAAGUUUUCCAGAUAAUAGGUGGCACCUUAGAUGUCAGAGUCCACUGCAAAUAAUAGUUCGUGCUCAGUUAGUUAUGGGUACUAAGUAAAUAUUAAUAGAAACUGAUAAGAUCAUGAUUUGGAGAAAAACAGAAGAGCAGUAAGUAGAUUGUGACAAGUUGCUGUGUAAUUACCUUUCAUCUUUUGGGGUAAAGGAGAACUGAAUAAAGCCACUCAUGUUACCUA